GGUUGUGGCUUAGCGGGAGAGUGCUUGCCUAGCUCGGGUGAGGCCCUGGGUUCAAUCCUCAGCACCA
rnacentral:tRNA from 1 species